rnacentral:tRNA from 1 species
GGAGAUGUGGCUCAAUUGGUAGAACAUCUGCAUAGUGAGCACAGGAUCUUAAGUUCAAACCUCAGUAUCACUA